UAGGGAAUCUUCCACAAUGGACGCAAGUCUGAUGGAGCAACGCCGCGUGAGUGAAGAAGGUUUUCGGACCGUAAAGCUCUGUUGUUGGUGAAGAAGGAUAGAGGUAGUAACUGGCCUUUAUUUGACGGUAAUCAACCAGAAAGUCACGGCUAACUACGUGCCAGCAGCCGCGGUAAUACGUAGGUGGCAAGCGUUGUCCGGAUUUAUUGGGCGUAAAGCGAGCGCAGGCGGAAGAAUAAGUCUGAUGUGAAGCCCUCGGCUUAACCGAGGAAUUGCAUCGGAAACUGUUUUUCCUUGAGUGCAGAAGAGGAGAGUAGAACUCCAUGUGUAGCGGUGGAAUGCGUAGAUAUAUGGAAGAAUACCAGUGGCGAAGGCGGCUCUCUGGUCUGCAACUGACGCUGAGGCUCGAAAGCAUGGGUAGCGAACAGGAUUAGAUAC
rnacentral:rRNA from 1 species